AAGUCGUAACAAGGUUUCCGUAGGUGAACCUGCGGAAGGAUCAUUAAAAUACGAUGUUAAUCGUUUUCAUACACAUUUGGGAUUGUUUUUUCGUUUUUAGUGUAAUAGCUAGACGAAAACAACAAUUCUAUGUAGAACUUGUUUUCUUUUUUUUUUCUUAUUAUUAUCAACACCUAAACGAAAAUAAUAUGAAAUAAAAAAAAUACAUAUAAAAGCUUCUAACUAAAUACAACUCUUAGCAACGGAUAUCUUGGUUCUC
rnacentral:misc_RNA from 1 species